AGAAACAGGAACAAAAGCCACAUACAUCACGGAGGUAAUUUUUUUUGAAAUUGUAUGGCGAAUAGAUAUGUCAAAAAUGUGGAUCCGUAUAUCGGGGUAUCAGAGCAGGCGCGAUUUGUGAAAACAGGUGGCACGGCAGUCUCGAAAUGGUGAUUAUGUAUCUAGAAACAAGGACCCUGUGUUUAGAGUUUGAAGACUCGUAGGGUAAUCGAACUUGAUUGAGAAGAGGAAGACAUGCCAGAGACAAAAUUGAGGUUACUGUGCACAUAAAACGUGACAGAGCGACAAAGAGAGAGGCUACUCUGUGCAUUCAAUACACAUUUAGUGGUCUAUGUACGUGUUACAUUAUUUUCGACAGUAUUGUGCAUUCCUCGCAUUUAUCAUGAACACAUUUUCCUCCUCUCUGAUUAAGCAGCAAAAAAUGAUGCGUCUUCAGAGCUUUGUUCUUUUAAAGGGGCUCUACAGGCCCGGAUUCGCAGGUCUCUCCUCCCCUAUUUUUAGGGAAGGCAGAGAGAAGAGCGCACUCUUUCGAUGUCUGAGUUCCUCUCAAGAAACUGGGUUGCUGUUCCUGGUCUGAUGAAGAUUCUAGAAAACGAGACACUCCGUGGCGGUCCUUUCUUUAGGGACAAGCUAUUGCGCGGAUCCGAAAUGAAACGUGGUAUAGUCAUGGAAAGUCGCACGUGCAAGAGUGAAGAGCGGCCGUGAGAGAAUUUUGAUGUAAUACCUCGACACGUCAUCGUGUGUGGGAAGCUGCCUUUUCUGUUUCUGAUAUUUUUCUGAACAGGAUUACAGUGUUGCACUAGAUAAGGGAAUAGAAAGCAGAAUGAAGUUAACUAACGCUUGCUGGAAUUUAAGUCGCGAUGCAAAGUAACACCACUUUCAAAUUUCUCACAUUCUAACUUCCUAGCAUGCAUUAUACAAAAUUUUCAGGUGAAGAGGGUGUGGUGCUGAUUGUAUAUUUGCACUGAUCAGGGGUCUAGAGAUACAUUUUGAAUUGAGUAGGGAUGAAAUGAUACAGAUAAGCUAUUCCUGAUAUGAUCAGCCUACUAUUCUUAUUGAAUGCAUCAAAAAACAUGGCAAAGGUGAAUUUUGGAAACGAACCUCCGUUCUUGGAUGCAGCCAACUUAGAGAGCUUUAGUUUGACUGACUCUGAACUAUCAUCAUACGAUGGCUACCAUAUACACCCUUCAGCGACCAAUCACCAAUCAGAUGCUAUGCACUCUACUAACAAGUGCUGCACGCAACCGCAUGACGAGAUCGGAAAUGUCUUUGGCGAUCGAUUUCAUGGAAAAAAACGACUGACUCAGUUUCCUCGAGAACUUUUGGUAAAGAUUUUCAAGUUUUUUAAUGUUCAAACUCUGUUUCAUAUUGCCUCGGUGUGCAAACUGUUCAACAACUUAGUGUCUUCCAAUCUUACGUGGCUAGCAGUAGCGCAGCUAAGAUUUCCUGAAUUAUCGGUCGAAACGUUGAGUACCAGUUCUAUUCCUGUCCAGAUUUCUAAGGUUAAUUGGCGCGCUUAUUAUUUAGAGAGGCUAGAACUCGAGAAGCCGCUACCUUUAAUCUGGAAAGAAGUAUUUUACCCAAGGGUGAUUGAGCCACGGUAUGCACAUACAGGGACAGUAAUAGAAGGCAAUUUAUAUAUUAUAGGUGGCGAGAAUUCAAUUUUGUCUAGGUUCAAUGAUGUUCAUUGCUUGAAUUUAGAAACUUCCGAAAUCACCAAGUGUCACACGAGGAACGAGAUCCAGCUCAUCUCGAGACAUCAGGCGAUUGGAUACAAAGAGUCGAUUUACGUCUUCGGCGGAUACGAUGGGGUUUCAAACUUCAACAAUUUGAAGAAGCUAGACACUGUUACCCAGACUUGGUCUAUACCCAAGACGAGUGGUCAAGCGCCUAUAUGCCGGUCAAAUCACGGGUGCGUGUUGUUGGGACACGAUGUUUACAUUUUUGGCGGAAAUAAUCAGAUGAGCGAAAACGACUACCAAGUGCUUGGGGAUUUUUACAAGCUUGAUUUAGAAGCAAUGAGAUGGGAGGACUACACAGAUCAACACGACGGAUACAUUCCGUCCAGGCGAAGCGGUCACAGAUUGGUGGAGAUUGGUGGGAAAAUAUGGAUGUUUGGAGGUGGCGUAUGGUGCAAGAGUGCCGCUGCUUGGAAGGAAAAGUACAAUCAAGUGAACGUGUACGAUCCGGUAAAAAGGUGCUGGAGGCUAUUAGAGGAGGAGGAUAACGCAAGCGUGUGUACGUUUUCUAGUUGCGCGAGAAUGGGCUUUCAAUUAGCGGUAUGGGGAGGACAGGAGAUGGAAACGAAUUGGACGUCUUCAAGUUUUUUCACGUUGGAUACGAUUACUUUGAGAUGGAGGAAAUGGAGUAUACCAAAUUCUCCGAAGUGUCGAGACAUGGGGGUGUUAGUGGCCAUAGGAAAUCACGAGAUGUUAUUAUUUGGAGGCAAUCACGGGGGUCCGAAGGAUGACUGGCACGUAUUGCAAUCGUCAAUUGAUGUUUUGGCUGAUGUGUUGUACGACAAGGCAAAGAACAGGAGAAAAAGUGUACGACGUAAUGAAGAGAGGCAACACUUCAGGUCCAGGGAAGGAAUUGCGUGAAUAAAGAGAUGCCGACAAGGUUGUAGAAGAUGAGAUAGAAUGCGACAAGAGAGGGCCAUAGGUGACCGCUAUUUGCAGAAAAUAGGUGGACCAUAUACCAAUAGACAAAUGGACACUGCGAAAAGAUGAAGCGAUUCAGCACUUGGAUGUAGAUGAAAGGAACAGAAACCAAGAGCAGAAACAUUACUUGAGCUACAUAGACAAAUACCGAAUUUCGUUUGAAUGGUGGUAUGGCGCCGGUGUCUGGGUAUAAGAAUGUGUUUAGUAAAGAUCGUGCGUUACACAGGAAAAAGAACAAUUGGCUUACUUUUUGUCGGUUUAUCUGGACAUAGACCUAAACUAAAUUGUUUCAAAUUGCAGAUGGCAUAAGAGACAAUACCCAUUAUACAUAAUAUGAUAACGGGAAGGGCGAUUAAAAAGUUUGGAACUUGUUUGAGUGUGUAGUAUCUGAAUAGGCCAACAUUCCUAUAGUUUUAUACGAACAACUUGUGUUAAAUAAAGGAAAAGAAGUUUUUGAUGAGGGAGGAAAAAAA